rnacentral:ncRNA from 1 species
CGCCGGGGACGACCCUGGUGACUGUCGAAAAACUGCGGGACGGCCCGC